AGCUUUUUGAAUCCGUGCAGACAUUUCGUCAGACAUCAACUCAUUAAGGCUGAUCAAACUCUUAAGAUAAGUGAAGUU
rnacentral:pre_miRNA from 1 species